rnacentral:rRNA from 1 species
UCAUCGAAGGCUAAAUAGCGGCUGGAGACCGAUAGCGAACAAGUACCGUGAGGGAAAGAUGACAAGCACUUUGAAAAGAGGGUGAAAAGAGCCUGAAACCGUCACGGGGGAAGCGGAUUGCGUUGGAUUGAUGGGCGCUUGUGUGUUCAGCCUUCGGGUGCAUUGGCACAAGUGCUUAUCCGCUGUGAGUUUUCGGGGGUCGAUUUUGGACCCCUGGGGACUGAGGGCUCCCUUUUUUAGGUGAGGACAGCGGAGUGACGACGCGAUACGACCCGUCUUGAAACACGGACCAAGGAGUCUAGCGCGGGUGCGAGUCGGAGGGUGCAAGCCCGUGGGCGAAGUGAAAGCGAGUUUUAAAAACGAGCAGUUUGGGGCGGCAUAAGAUCGUUGAUCUUAAGACCGACCCGGAGCAGUUGCGCUGGGACCCGAAAGAUGGUGAACUAUGCCGGAGUAGGGCAAAGCCAGAGGAAACUCUGGUGGAGGCUCGUAGCGGUGCUGACGUGCAAAUCGCUCGUCGAACUUGGGUAUAGGGGCGAAAGACUAAUCGAACCAUCUAGUAGCUGGUUCCCUCCGAAGUUUCUCUCAGGAUAGCGGGCCGACAAGUUGUUUUGUGCGGUAAAGCGAAUGAUUAGCGCAUUCGGGGGCGUUUAGCCUUUGGGCGAUUCUCAAACUUUCAAUGCGCA